UACGUAGGGGGCUAGCGUUGUCCGGAAUCAUUGGGCGUAAAGAGCGUGUAGGCGGCCCGGUAAGUCCGCUGUAAAAGUCAAAGGCUCAACCUUUGAAUGUCAGUGGAUACUGCCGGGCUAGAGUCCGGAAGAGGCGAGUGGAACUCCUGGUGUAGCGGUGGAAUGCGCAGAUAUCAGGAAGAACACCAACGGCGAAGGCAGCUCGCUAGGACGGUACUGACGCUGAGACGCGAAAAGCGUGGGGGAGCAAACAGG
rnacentral:rRNA from 1 species